rnacentral:rRNA from 1 species
CUUGGUCAUUUAGAGGAAGUAAAAGUCGUAACAAGGUUUCCGUAGGUGAACCUGCGGAAGGAUCAUUAGUGAACGCCCUCACGGGCUUAUAACUAUUCCAAACCUCUGUGAACCGUGCCCUUCGGGGCUAUUUUACAAACAUGGUGUAAUGAACGUCAUAAAUCAUAACAAAACAAAACUUUCAACAACGGAUCUCUUGGCUCUCGCAUCGAUGAAGAACGCAGCGAAAUGCGAUAAGUAAUGUGAAUUGCAGAAUUCAGUGAAUCAUCGAAUCUUUGAACGCACCUUGCGCCCUCUGGUAUUCCGGAGGGCAUGCCUGUUUGAGUGUCAUGUAGACUCAAUCCCUCGGGUUUCCGAGGAGAUUGGACUUGGGUGUUGCCGCUUCUGCCGGCUCACCUUAAAAGACUUAGCGGGAUAGCACCGUAGUCGGCGUAAUAAGUUUCGUCGGUGAAGGUUGUGAUGACUGCUUACAAUCGCCCUCGGGCAAUUUUUGACUCUGACCUCAAAUCAGGUAGGACUACCCGCUGAACUUAAGCAUAUCAAUAAGCGGAGGA